CCUACGGGUGGCAGCAGUGGGGAAUAUUGGACAAUGGGGGCAACCCUGAUCCAGCCAUGCCGCGUGUGUGAAGAAUGCCCUCGGGUUGUAAAGCACUUUCAGUGAGGAAGAACGCCUGGUGGUUAAUACCCAUCAGGAAAGACAUCACUCACAGAAGAAGCACCGGCUAACUCCGUGCCAGCAGCCGCGGUAAUACGGAGGGUGCGAGCGUUAAUCGGAAUUACUGGGCGUAAAGCGCGCGUAGGUGGCUUGAUAAGCCGGUUGUGAAAGCCCCGGGCUCAACCUGGGAACGGCAUCCGGAACUGUCAAGCUAGAGUGCAGGAGAGGAAGGUAGAAUUCCCGGUGUAGCGGUGAAAUGCGUAGAGAUCGGGAGGAAUACCAGUGGCGAAGGCGGCCUUCUGGACUGACACUGACACUGAGGUGCGAAAGCGUGGGUAGCAAACAGGAUUAGAUACCCCAGUAGUC
rnacentral:rRNA from 1 species